rnacentral:rRNA from 1 species
GAUAAACGCUGGCGGCGUGCCUAAAACAUGCAAGUCGAACGGCUCACUUCGGUGGGUAGUGGCGAACGGCUGAGUAACACGUGGGUGACCUGCCUUCGAACGGGGGAUAACUGCCCGAAAGGGUGGCUAAUACCGCAGAUGUCGUUGAUUCGGUUUGACGACUGAACCGUCUAGGGUUCGGAGAGGGGCCUGCGUCCGAUUAGCUAGCUGGUGGGGUAAAGGCUUACCAGGGCGACGAUCGGUAGCUGGUCUGAGAGGAUGAUCAGCCAGACUGGGACUGCGAGACGGCCCAGACUCCUACGGGAGGCAGCAGUUAGGAAUUUUGGGCAAUGGGCGAAAGCCUGACCCAGCAACGCCGCGUGGGUGAAGAAGGCCCUCGGGUCGUAAAGCCCUUUUCCCAGGGAAGAUGAUGACGGUACCUGGGGAAUCAGCCCCGGCUAACUACGUGCCAGCCGCCGCAGUAAAA